UUGAACGCUGGCGGCAGGCCUAACACAUGCAAGUCGAACGGUAACAGGAAGCAGCUUGCUGCUUUGCUGACGCGUGGCGGACGGGUGAGUAAUGUCUGGGAAACUGCCCGAUGGAGGGGGAUAACUACUGGAAACGGUAGCUAAUACCGCAUAACGUCGCAAGACCAAAGAGGGGGACCUUAGGGCCUCUUGCCAUCGGAUGUGCCCAGAUGGGAUUAGCUAGUAGGUGGGGUAACGGCUCACCUAGGCGACGAUCCCUAGCUGGUCUGAGAGGAUGACCAGCCACACUGGAACUGAGACACGGUCCAGACUCCUACGGGAGGCAGCAGUGGGGAAUAUUGCACAAAGGGCGCAAGCCUGAUGCAGCCAUGCCGCGUGUAUGAAGAAGGCCUUCGGGUUGUAAAGUACUUUCAGCGGGGAGGAAGGGAGUAAAGUUAAUACCUUUGCUCAUUGACGUUGCCCGCAGAAGAAGCACCGGCUAACUCCGUG
rnacentral:rRNA from 1 species